AGGGAGCGUUAUCGGAAUUCUGGGCGUAAGCGCGCGUAGGUGGUUUGUUAAGUGGGAUGUGAAAGCCCCGGGCUCAACCUGGGAAUUGCAUCCCAAACUGGCAAACUAGAGUACAAGAGAGGGGUGUGGAAUUUCCUGUGUAGCGGUGAAAUGCGUAGAUAUAGGAAGGAACAUCAGUGGCGAAGGCGACGCCCUGGCUUGAUACUGACACUGAGAUGCGAAAGCGUGGGGAGCAAACAGGAUUAGAUACCCUGGUAGUCCACGCCGUAAACGAUGUCUACUAGCCGUUGGGGGACUUGAUCCCUUAGUGGCGAAGCUAACGCGAUAAGUAGACCGCCUGGGGAGUACGGUCGCAAGAUUAAAACUCAAAUGAAUUGACGGGGGCCCGCACAAGCGGUGGAGCAUGUGGUUUAAUUCGACGCAACGCGAAAAACCUUACCUGGUCUUGACAUCCUGUGAACUUUCUAGAGAUAGAUUGGUGCCUUCGGGAACACAGUGACAGGUGCUGCAUGGCUGUCGUCAGCUCAUGUCGUGAGAUGUUGGGUUAAGUCCCGUAACGAGCGCAACCCUUGUCCUUAUUUGCCAGCACGUAAUGGUGGGAACUCUAAGGAGACUGCCGGUGACAAACCGGAGGAAGGUGGGGACGACGUCAAGUCAUCAUGGCCCUUAUGACCAGGGCUACACACGUGCUACAAUGGGGCGUACAGAGGGUUGCUAAGCCGCGAGGUGGGGCCAAUCCCAGAAAACGUUUCGUAGUCCGGAUCGAAGUCUGCAACUCGACUUCGUGAAGUCGGAAUCGCUAGUAAUCGCGUAACAGCAUGACGCGGUGAAUACGUUCCCGGGCCUUGUACACACCGCCCGUCACACCAUGGGAGUUGGUUCUACCCGACGACGCUGCGCUAACCCUUCGGGGAGGCAAGCGGCCACGGUAGGAUUAGCGACUGGGGUGAAGUCGUAACAAGGUAACC
rnacentral:rRNA from 1 species